rnacentral:rRNA from 1 species
GUCUAAGGCCAUGCCACCCUAAACACAGCCGAUCUUGUCUGAUCUCGGAAGCUAAGCAAGGUCAGGCCUGGUUCGUACUUGGAUGAGAGACCACCUAGGAAGACUGGGUGCUACAGGAG